CCUACGGGCGGCAGCAGUGAGGAAUAUUGGUCAAUGGCCUAAGGCCUGAACCAGCCAAGUCGCGUGAGGGAAGAAGGUUCUAUGGUUUGUAAACCUCUUUUGUCGGGGAGUAAAGAUGUCACGUGUGGGCGAUGUGCGUGUACCCGAUGAAUAAGCAUCGGCUAACUCCGUGCCAGCAGCCGCGGUAAUACGGAGGAUGCGAGCGUUAUCCGGAUUUAUUGGGUUUAAAGGGUGCGUAGGUGGUACUUUAAGUCAGCGGUAAAAUUGAGGGGCUAAACCCAUAUGUGCCGUUGAAACUGGGAGACUUGAGUGGGCGUGAGGUAGGCGGAAUGCGUGGUGUAGCGGUGAAAUGCAUAGAUAUCACGCAGAACUCCGAUUGCGAAGGCAGCAUAC
rnacentral:rRNA from 1 species